rnacentral:rRNA from 1 species
UACAGAGGGUGCGAGCGUUGUCCGGAAUCACUGGGCGUAAAGGGCGCGUAGGUGGCUGGGUAAGUGUGCGGUGAAAGUCCGGGGCUCAACCCCGGAUCGGCCGUGCAGACUGCUUGGCUUGAGCAUAGUAGAGGCAGGUGGAAUUCCGGGUGUAGCGGUGGAAUGCGUAGAGAUCCGGAAGAACACCGGUGGCGAAGGCGGCCUGCUGGGCUAUUGCUGACACUUAGGCGCGACAGCGUGGGGAGCAAACAGG